CCAUGCAAGUCGACGGCAGCACGGGGGCAACCCUGGUGGCGAGUGGCGAACGGGUGAGUAAUACAUCGGAACGUGUCCUGUAGUGGGGGAUAGCCCGGCGAAAGCCGGAUUAAUACCGCAUACGCUCUACGGAGGAAAGGGGGGGAUCUUAGGACCUCCCGCUACAGGGGCGGCCGAUGGCAGAUUAGCUAGUUGGUGGGGUAAAGGCCUACCAAGGCGACGAUCUGUAGCUGGUCUGAGAGGACGACCAGCCACACUGGGACUGAGACACGGCCCAGACUCCUACGGGAGGCAGCAGUGGGGAAUUUUGGACAAUGGGGGCAACCCUGAUCCAGCAAUGCCGCGUGUGUGAAGAAGGCCUUCGGGUUGUAAAGCACUUUUGUCCGGAAAGAAAACGCCGUGGUUAAUACCCGUGGCGGAUGACGGUACCGGAAGAAUAAGCACCGGCUAACUACGUGCCAGCAGCCGCGGUAAUACGUAGGGUGCAAGCGUUAAUCGGAAUUACUGGGCGUAAAGCGUGCGCAGGCGGUCCGCUAAGACAGAUGUGAAAUCCCCGGGCUUAACCUGGGAACUGCAUUUGUGACUGGCGGGCUAGAGUAUGGCAGAGGGGGGUAGAAUUCCACGUGUAGCAGUGAAAUGCGUAGAGAUGUGGAGGAAUACCGAUGGCGAAGGCAGCCCCCUGGGCCAAUACUGACGCUCAUGCACGAAAGC
rnacentral:rRNA from 1 species